GUGGGGGUGGCGAAGUGGUAACGCACUCGGUUGCAACCCGAGUAUAAGAGGGUUCGAAUCCCUCCCUCCACU
rnacentral:tRNA from 1 species